CGCACGGGUGAGUAACGCGUAGAUAUCUGCCUGAUGAUCUGGGAUAACACUUCGAAAGGGGUGCUAAUACCGGAUAAGCCCACGGUAUCUUUGGAUUCUGCGGGAAAAGGGGGGGACCUUCGGGCCUUCUGUCAUCAGAUGAGUCUGCGUACCAUUAGCUAGUUGGUAGGGUAAUGGCCUACCAAGGCUACGAUGGUUAGCUGGUUUGAGAGAAUGAUCAGCCACACUGGAACUGAGACACGGUCCAGACUCCUACGGGAGGCAGCAGUGGGGAAUUUUGCGCAAUGGGCGAAAGCCUGACGCAGCAACGCCGCGUGAGUGAUGAAGGCUUUCGGGUCGUAAAGCUCUGUCGAGGGGAAAGAAGUGUAUUGUGGCUAAUAUCCACGAUACUUGACGGUACCCCUAAAGGAAGCACCGGCUAACUCCGUGCCAGCAGCCGCGGUAAUACGGGGGGUGCAAGCGUUGUUCGGAAUUAUUGGGCGUAAAGAGCGUGUAGGCGGUUUGUUAAGUCUGUUGUGAAAGCCCUGGGCUCAACCCAGGAAGUGCACUGGAUACUGGCAGACUUGAAUACGGGAGAGGGUAGUGGAAUUCCUAGUGUAGGAGUGAAAUCCGUAGAUAUUAGGAGGAACACCGGUGGCGAAGGCGGCUACCUGGACCGAUAUUGACGCUGAGACGCGAAAGCGUGGGUAGCAAACAGGAUUAGAUACCCUGGUAGUCC
rnacentral:rRNA from 1 species